CUGCCCAAUGAGGAAUUAAAUGGCCGCGGUAUUUUGACCGUGCAAAGGUAGCAUAAUCAUUAGUUUUUUAAUUGAAAGCUGGAAUGAAAGGUUGGAUGAGAAAAUAACUGUCUCAAAUUAAAUUAUUUUGAAUUUUAUUUUUAAGUAAGAAAGCUUAAAUAAAAAUAGAAGACGAGAAGACCCUAUAGAGUUUUAUAUAUUUAUAUUGAAAAGAGAUGUUUAGAAUUUAUUUUUUUUUGGUAUUGAUAUAUUUAGUUGGGGUGAUUAAAAAAUUGAACAAACUUUUUUUUUAUAAUAACAUUAAUUUAUGAUUGAUUGAUCCUUAAUUUAAGAUUAUAAGAUAAAAUUACCUUAGGGAUAACAGCGUAAUUUUUUUAAAGAGUUCAAAUCGAAAGAAAAGAUUGCGACCUCGAUGUUGGAUUAAAAUAAAAUUUUGGUGUAGGGGCUAAAGUAUUUGGGUCU
rnacentral:rRNA from 1 species